rnacentral:rRNA from 1 species
UACGUAGGGUGCAAGCGUUAAUCGGAAUUACUGGGCGUAAAGCGCGCGUAGGCGGCUCUUCAAGUCAGGCGUGAAAGCCCCGGGCUUAACUCGGGAACUGCGCUUGAUACUGUCGAGCUAGAGUGUGGAAGGGGCGAUUGGAAUUCCGUGUGUAGCGGUGAAAUGCGUAGAUAUACGGAGGAACACCAGGGGCGAAGGCGGAUCGCUGGGCCAACACUGACGCUGAUGCGCGAAAGCUAGGGGAGCAAACGGG